ACACAUGCAAGUCGAACGAACCCUUCGGGGUUAGUGGCGCACGGGUGCGUAACACGUGGGAAUCUGCCUCUUGGUUCGGAAUAACAGUGAGAAAUUACUGCUAAUACCGGAUGAUGACUUCGGUCCAAAGAUUUAUCGCCAAGAGAUGAGCCCGCGCAGGAUUAGGUAGUUGGUGGGGUAAAGGCCUACCAAGCCGACGAUCCUUAGCUGGUCUGAGAGGAUGAUCAGCCACACUGGGACUGAGACACGGCCCAGACUCCUACGGGAGGCAGCAGUGGGGAAUAUUGGACAAUGGGCGAAAGCCUGAUCCAGCAAUGCCGCGUGAGUGAUGAAGGCCUUAGGGUUGUAAAGCUCUUUUACCAGGGAUGAUAAUGACAGUACCUGGAGAAUAAGCUCCGGCUAACUCCGUGCCAGCAGCCGCGGUAAUACGGAGGGAGCUAGCGUUGUUCGGAAUUACUGGGCGUAAAGCGCGCGUAGGCGGUUACUCAAGUCAGAGGUGAAAGCCCGGAGCUCAACUCCGGAACUGCCUUUGAAACUAGGUGACUAGAAUCUUGGAGAGGUCAGUGGAAUUCCGAGUGUAGAGGUGAAAUUCGUAGAUAUUCGGAAGAACACCAGUGGCGAAGGCGACUGACUGGACAAGUAUUGACGCUGAGGUGCGAAAGUGUGGGGAGCAAACAGGAUUAGAUACCCUGGUAGUCCACACCGUAAACGAUGAUAACUAGCUGUCCGGGUUCUUGGAAUUUGGGUGGCGCAGCUAACGCAUUAAGUUAUCCGCCUGGGGAGUACGGUCGCAAGAUUAA
rnacentral:rRNA from 1 species